rnacentral:lncRNA from 1 species
GGGGCUCGGGGCCAUCGCCGGGUGCUGUGCGGUUCCCGGCUCGGAGGCGCUGGGCCGGCGUCGCGGCUGCCCCCUGCCCACGCGGGAGGGAAGCGAGCGGCGCUCAGGGACCAGGAGCGAAGGCCUUGCCACCUGGCGAGGCGGGGAGGCCAAGGGCCCUCGGGACACAGACAGCGGUGGCCUCAGCGGAGGCUUGGGGGCUAGCCUCCCCCUAGUUUCCAUUAGUCUCCCCUCCAAACUACUUCAAGUGGAACGUACAAGCAUGUUUUUUGAUAUGGGCAAUUGACACAGUCUUACAUUUUUAUGGCACCCUCAGACAGGGUAUUUGAGGAGAAUUGAAUAAAUGGAAAAUACGUGAAUUAAAGGAGAGCUGUGCAGUACCCAGGGCCAGCAACAAAGGGGAGCUGUUACCCCCUGAGACCUGGAGGGCAGCUGGAGCCACAGGAGAGGCCGUCUCCAGGAGCCCUGACCUUGGAGAGGGACACAGCGACCCGGCAGGGAGGAGCUGCUGCUGUACACUGACCUCACCCCUCCUGACCGCUUGGCUUGUCUACCGGCUACGCAUUGGCUGAACUAGGUGGAGGCCAGGGAGCAACGAGGCCCCAUGGAUCCUGUACCUACAGUCAGCUUCCCGGGGCACAGAGCAGGGGCUGGCAUGGGGCAAUGGGAAGAUGUCCAGCACCUGUUUUGAAGUGUGAAUAAAAGCAUCGUAGAAAAU